CCUACGGGUGGCUGCAGUGGGGAAUAUUGCACAAUGGGGGCAACCCUGAUCCAGCCAUGCCGCGUGUGUGAAGAAGGCCCUCGGGUUGGAAAGCACUUUCAGUGAGGAAGAACGCCUGGUGGUUAAUACCCAUCAGGAAAGACAUCACUCACAGAAGAAGCACCGGCUAACUCCGUGCCAGCAGCCGCGGUAAUACGGAGGGUGCGAGCGUUAAUCGGAAUUACUGGGCGUAAAGCGCGCGUAGGUGGCUUGACAAGCCGGUUGUGAAAGCCCCGGGCUCAACCUGGGAACGGCAUCCGGAACUGUCAAGCUAGAGUGCCGUAGAGGAGGGUAGAAUUCCCGGUGUAGCGGUGAAAUGCGUAGAGAUCGGGAGGAAUACCAGUGGCGAAGGCGGCCCUCUGGACUGACACUGACACUGAGGUGCGAAAGCGUGGGUAGCAAACAGGAUUAGAUACCCGGGUAGUC
rnacentral:rRNA from 1 species